rnacentral:ncRNA from 1 species
AAAAACACAACGAACAGACGAAGUACUCUUAUCUUUUUUUCAGAAAGAUUGCGGUUGAUGGAAGCAAUUAAAAAGACGGAGGAAAUGCACCUGGGAGUGGCUUUGAUGAAAAUCAAAGACGAGAAAGUGCACGUUACGCAUUUGGAAGGCAGAAAAACAUUCUGUGAACAAAAGUGGAACCACGCAACGAUUGCGUCUUUUAA